GACAACGUAGGGUAGUGGUUUGAGUGUUGGACCACCACUCUGGAGACCUGGGUUCAAAUUCCCGCUUGGCCG
rnacentral:tRNA from 1 species